rnacentral:misc_RNA from 1 species
UGAGGAGGGCGGCGGUGGGGCCACACCGGAUAUUGGGAAACCCUGAUCCUUCGUCCCGCGUGUGCGAUGAAGGCCUUCGGUUGUAAAGCACUUUUGGCAGGAAAGAAACCGGCGCAGGAUAUUACCCGUGCAACUGACGGUACCUGCAGAUAAGCACCGGCUAACUACGUGCCAGCAGCCGCGGUAAUACGUAGGGUGCAAGCGUUAAUCGGAAUUACUGGGCGUAAAGCGUGCGCAGGCGGUUCGCGGAAGAAAGAUGAAAUCCAGAGCUUAACUUUGGAACUGCAUUUUAACUACCGAGCUGAGUCAGUAUUCGGAAGUGGGAGUGUGUAGCAGUGAAAUGCGUAGAUAUGCGGAGGAACACCGAUGGCGAGGCAGCCUCCUGGGAUAACACUGACGCUCAUGCACGAAAGCGUGGGAGCAAACGGAUUAGAUGCCCGUGUGGU